rfam:Hordeum vulgare subsp. vulgare, WGS project CAJW01000000 data, contig: morex_contig_138306
GUUGUACUCCCUCCGUUCUAAAAUUCUUGUAUUAAAUGUGUGUAGAUAUGAAUGUAUCUAGUCAUGUUUUAGUAUUUUGGUAUAUUCAUUUGUAGAUAAUUUUAAGACAAAAAUUUUAGGACGGAUGGAGUAGAUG